ACUUAAUUUAUUAUUUAAAUUUGUAGUGUUGGUUAGUAGUUAAAUACUCGUUAGUAAGAGUUUGAGCCAAAGCUUCUGGUUCCCAAUUUAAAUUGCGUUUCUACAUGAAAAAACAACAGUUUUGGCUCGUCUGAUACAACAGGUAUUUCAAAAUGACAGUUGCUAUUACUAAUUGGGAUAGCGUUUGCUUCCUUUUAAGCAUGUCGUCUGUUGGUUCAAUUUAAACUUAUUUAACUUAGAAGAGUGGGCUAAUUCGGGUGCGUGUUAUUAUGGA
rnacentral:lncRNA from 1 species